rnacentral:lncRNA from 1 species
ACCGCGGGCACACAACCUGCCCGAGCCAGCAGCGAAGGGAGGAGGGUGGGUUAUGGAGGGCACCCACCCUUCUGGGCAGAAGAUGGGGUAGAUGGCGGGCGGGCGCCCCUCUUGAGGCUCCAAGAACUCCCUCCUUCCGAAGUCUGCCCGAACUCCAGCAUCCCUCCUCCCGGCCCUCCUCGGAGCUACGGUGGGGAAAAGGACUCGAAAGAUGGGGGAGCUGAGGGGUGGUGGUGGGGGCAGUUGCAGGCCUGGAGUGGUCCCGCCUGCACCCUGAGGGUUCCCGGAGUCAGGAAGAGAACAAUAGCGGACCCUCAGUCGCCCGAGCCCUCCGAGUCUCCCGCUCGCGCCUUCCUCCCCAGCUCCUCCAAGUUCAGCGCGGAGGCGGGUCGAGUCCAGAAUCGGGGACCUGGGGGAGCCAGACGCCGGGCGGACCGGGCAGACACUUGGCGGCAGGCGGGGAAAAGGGACUGGUGGCGGGACCCUCGCAGCCACUCCGCCCUGCGCGUCCUCCGCGCCUCCUACCCUCAUCGGAGCCCCAGACACAAGGCGGGGACCCGAGCUGAGGACCCCGCGCCGGGAAGCCUCCCAACUCCCGGCGCCGCGCACUCACCCCAUCUAGGCGGCGGCAGCGGCUCCCCGGGUCGGCCCCGCUGGCUGCGCAACCCCGCCCGCCGCUUCCCCAGGAAAACGCGGCCGCCGGGCUCGCUUCCUGCUCGGCUUCCUGCGCCUCGGUCCCUCCUCCUCCUCCUCCCCGCUGCGGGGUCCGUGGGCGCCGCGGCUCCCGGGCUGGGCCGGCGGGGCGGGGUGGCGGCAGCACCACCACGUGGCCGCCCGGCGCCGGCCCCCGCCGACCCGGAUCCCGCGGGAGCCGGGAGGGAGGUGCUAACCAUUCCCCUCCUCUUCCACCGCGCGCGGCCCCAGAUUCCGCGAGUCAGGUGAUCCGGCCCCGCGCUCCGGCCGCAACCUGCGGUAGGUGCUCCCGGCCCGCGCGCCCCAAGCGUCCGCAGCCUGCUUGUAGUUUUCCGCGGAUCGUGGAUUCUGCCCGGUGAAUCUGUUUGCAUCAUCGUCACCUGAAGCUAAUGGAAACCACCGGUGUUCCGACCCCGGAUUUUAGAACGGAUGAGAUACUGAAUAGUAUUCAUUUCUGGUUAACGUCCAAAGUCGUUUGUGGUCGUGUUGGUGUUUGCAAGUCACUAAUCCAAGCGCCUUCUACCCAGAAUCAAAUCGGUCAUAGUUUCCAAAAUUAUUGAACAGAAAGGAAACUAAAACCUGCUCAGAGUCUCUGGAUUGAACCAGUUGGUCGGAGCGACUGUUUCCUAACGUUCAUCAGGUGGCAAGAGAAAACUACCAGCGUUCAGCGCUGCUCGCGAGUUAGGAAGGAGACGCCUACUGUCUGAACUGAGAGGCACCGUGCGGAACGCCCUCCCUGUGGGGUCUGGAAUGCCGAGGGGCCCGGCCUCAGAGCCCCGGAGCUCCUCUCCCUUCCCCACCCCCCUGAGCCCCCUGCGUUUGAAUCGUAAUGGACUCUUGCUUCAACUCCCAAGGAUUUCAAAGCUCUCCUCCUCUCCAUUAAUUUGGGACGCCUUUGCGAUUCAUUCUGGUCAUGCCAACCAGCUAUGACUUUAAAAGUCUUUUCACCAAAGCCCCUGUGUUCUGUUAACUCCAAGUCCUUUGCAGGAAGCUUUCUGGAAAUAAAUAUGUGGUAUGAGUCCCUUUUUGGUGAGAUCAAAUCUAAAGCAAUUGAAUUUUUUAAAAAAUCCAAUACAAAUGAAAUUCAUCUAAGUUCAGUUUAUAAUGUCUUAAACAGAUCCCCACGACUACCAGUCGGACUUUAUCUGUACCCCUAGCCCCCCACUACCACCACCAGCAGCAAGCCAAAGGAACAGCCUGUCUUAGCUUUGACAGGUGACAUCAGAGACAACUAGCUGCGUGGUCUUCCCUUCCUAAAUCAUAGGUCAGCAAUUCCUUAGAGAAGUGAUGAAUAGCUGGUUUAAAGCAAGAUGUACACUCCUCUUCCUGUCUUUUAUCCCUCUCAAAUAAAAUCACCAUCUAAAAGACACCUGAACUGAUAAACUUCUUUUUGGUUUAAUGCUGGCAAUUUCCACAGUACAGUUAUUCAUUGCAGUUCACAUGAAUGGUGUAAUGUAGGGUAUUUAUUGGGAACAAUACUGCCACGUGUUGGUUUUCUGUUCCCCUUUCAGCAGGUCAGUCUCGCUGAACAGUGGCAGCUAGGAAGAUGUGCACUGGAGCUCACUGUCCUGUGCUGCCUUGAAAAGUUGUGUGCUGUGCGUAGUCGCUCAGUGGUGUCCAACUCUUUGUGAUCCCCAUGGACUGCAGCUCUCCAGGCUCCUCUGUCCAUGGGGAUUCUCCAGCCAAGAAUACUGAAGUGAGUUGCCCUGCCUUCCUCCACGGGAUCUCCCUGCCCCAGGGAUGGAACCCACCUCUUCUGCACUGCAGGCGGAUUCUUUACCACUAGCGCCACCUGGGAAGCCCCAGCUACAGAAUACGUACCACCUUCCACCAACCCAGGGAUUGAACCCUGAUCUCCCGCACUGCAGGGGGCGGGGUGGGGGUGGAGGGAGUGGGGGCUCUGGGGGGUUCUUUACCGUCUGACCACCAGGGAAGCCCGCCUUGGAAAGUUGACAUGUGUGUACUCUGUAGCUGGGGCUUCCCAGGUGGUGGUAGUGGUAAAGAACCUUGCCUGGAGAAUCCCACGGACAGAGAAGCCUGGUGAGAUACAGUCCCUAGGGUUGCAAAGAGUCCGACUGAAGCGAAUUCACACACACACACACACACACACGUUCUGUAGCUGAAGGAGUUAAAAUAGCAAACAAUAAUUGUGUAAGGCUUCCCUGAUGGCUCAGAUGGUAAAGAAUCUCCCUGCAAUGCCAGAGAUCCAGGUUCGAUCCCUGGGUUAGGAAGAUCUCCUGGAGAAGGGAAUGGCAACCCACUCCAGUAUUCAUACCUGGAGAUUUCCGUGGACAGAGGAGCCUGGCAGGCUACAGUCUAUGGUGCCGCAAAGAGUUGGAUACAACUGAGUGUUUAACACACACAGGGUCAUCAGCCUUUUAUUCAUAAAAUAAGAACAUUAUUCAUAGAAUAAAUUAUUUUUCUCUUUUACAUGACCAGACCCUGUCCCAGCCACUUGCCUGGGAGCCCACCCGCCUUUGUCAGCUCUGAAUGGUUCCCACAGGUGGCUCGUGUGCUUAUUCUCCUUAAUUUAUAAUCCCACCUUCUCCAUCACCAAGUCCAGCUCUGAGUGAGAGAUUGUUGUGGAGGAAAGGACUCUUAUAGUUAAUCCACUGUGCUAAGACCCUUUUCCAGAUCUCUGCCUCUGCUGAAACGCAGACCACCAGCUUCAGACCACAACAGAAGUUCUGCCACCUGUAGGGAGAUUGGUGGUCAAGUGUAUGUCUGAGCAGCGUUUUCUCAUUGGUUGUUUUCACCCAGACCUUUUAGAAAAUGCUGGUUGGGAUUGGGAUACAUUGAUGAGAGCCUCUGAAGGAGACCUGACCCAGGUGAAAGUGUUUGAGACAUGGAAGCAUCUCAACUGUAUAAAACUUUUUGGGGCUGUAAAUAGCAUGUUGAACUUCAAUAGGAGAAUAACCCACAAAUCAAAGUAACUAUGGUGUGAUAUAUAGUAUUAAGAGUAAGAAGAGCCAGGGGACCAGAUUUCCCAACCCUUCUGUUUGACUCACUUUUCAUUUGAACUUCACCACAUGUUUGGAUCUCUCCUGGGCCACUUUCCC